GACGAACGCUGGCGGCGUGCCUAAUACAUGCAAGUAGAACGCUGAAGGAGGAGCUUGCUUCUCUGGAUGAGUUGCGAACGGGUGAGUAACGCGUAGGUAGCCUGCCUGGUAGCGGGGGAUAACUAUUGGAAACGAUAGCUAAUACCGCAUAACAGUAGAUAUUGCAUGAUAUCUGCUUGAAAGGUGCAAUUGCAUCACUACCAGAUGGACCUGCGUUGUAUUAGCUAGUUGGUGAGGUAACGGCUCACCAAGGCGACGAUACAUAGCCGACCUGAGAGGGUGAUCGGCCACACUGGGACUGAGACACGGCCCAGACUCCUACGGGAGGCAGCAGUAGGGAAUCUUCGGCAAUGGACGGAAGUCUGACCGAGCAACGCCGCGUGAGUGAAGAAGGUUUUCGGAUCGUAAAGCUCUGUUGUAAGAGAAGAACGAGUGUGAGAGUGGAAAGUUCACACUGUGACGGUAUCUUACCAGAAAGGGACGGCUAACUACGUGCCAGCAGCCGCGGUAAUACGUAGGUCCCGAGCGUUGUCCGGAUUUAUUGGGCGUAAAGCGAGCGCAGGCGGUUAGAUAAGUCUGAAGUUAAAGGCUGUGGCUUAACCAUAGUACGCUUUGGAAACUGUUUAACUUGAGUGCAAGAGGGGAGAGUGGAAUUCCAUGUGUAGCGGUGAAAUGCGUAGAUAUAUGGAGGAACACCGGUGGCGAAAGCGGCUCUCUGGCUUGUAACUGACGCUGAGGCUCGAAAGCGUGGGGAGCAAACAGG
rnacentral:rRNA from 1 species